rnacentral:rRNA from 1 species
UACGGAGGAUCCGAGCGUUAUCCGGAUUUAUUGGGUUUAAAGGGUGCGCAGGUUGUUUGAUAAGUCAGUGGUGAAAGUCUGUCGCUUAACGGUAAGAUUGCCAUUGAUACUGUUAGACUUGAAUAUGGAUGAGGUAGGCGGAAUGUGUAGUGUAGCGGUGAAAUGCAUAGAUAUGACGAGGAACUCCUAUUGCGAAGGCAGCUUGCUGGGUCGUUACUGACGCUGAUGCUCGAAGGUGCGGGGAUCAAACAGGAUUA